UGGUUUUUUCGAAAUGGUUUUGAUGUUGCUUAACCGCUAAGCUACAUCAAUGCGUUCGUUAUUAUUUAAUGUUUCGUCCGAAAGUUCUGUUAAAUUUGAAUUACUCGUGCUUAAUCCGAGAGGUGACCUAACGACUGAUGCCUAGAGUACAUUGAUUUUUUGGAGGAAACGCUUCUCCCGCCUGAUGAAUGAAAAUUGGAACAUCAGGAAGUGGCGAUCCCGAUUCCUCGAUUGAUGGCAAUGAAAGUGGAGUGUAUGGGUCUGGUAUGAACAGGGGCAAGACGAAGUGAAUCACGAGACAGCGGCUAGGCUGGCUAGAGAAUGUGUGCCGGAAAGAUGAGAAUACUCCGGCUUUGAAAGUUUUCGAAGCAGGCCAGGUGUAGAAGGACCUGGCUGUACUAGUUACUUCCAGUUGACUUUAAACAUCCAAAGGAAGUAAUGAAUGAAUUUUAUUAACUCGACUAUAAGCUUGAAAGUGGUGUAUAGGCUAGUAAAUAGUAAACAAAAAUAAUUCUACUUAUGAAAACAAGAUCCAGACUAUGCACAGCUUCUGUAUUUCCAAGCGAAACCAAAUUUCUGAGCUUGAUUUUCCAUAGCGAAGAAUGGCUCAUGACUGUCCAUUUAAAGGAAUAGUCUUACAAAAAUCUACUAAACAGAAGAUGCAGUUGACUGACCUUGUCUUGUCGGAGUCACGUUCCAGAUUCUCGUAGCAACACUUCAUAUUACAGGCUUUCAAGUGCAAAAAAAUAGAUGUAUAGAGACAGUGUUGUUGUCAGGUCACCCAAUACCUUAGAAAUCAGCAUCAGAUUUUCAAAGCCACAAACGUCUGCACUUACUGGCCAACUAACCGAUUAACCAGCUAGUUAACAGCAUAUUUGUAUGUGCAAAAAGUUGUAAUGAAAUUUGCUGCUGCUGCACCGGAGCCGCCAUGGUUGGCUUAUUUACCCAUUUUAAGAGGCAACAACGGCUGCCGCAGCCACAACAAAAGCAAAAGCAAUAAAGAUAGCCGCGGGAUAAAAAUUAAAAACAAAGCCAUUAUUAUGCAAUUAUCACCGAAGCGAGAGAGAAACGAAAAUAGAAAAAGAAAAUUUAUCGUAUAGCGAUUCGCAACAAAUUAAGAGAAGUGCAAAAUUUUGCAAAUAAUUUUAGAAAUUGUAAAGAAUAAGCAACAUAACUUCAGAAAAUAAUAAGAAAGAUUCAAAUUUUUAAAUUUAAA